rnacentral:lncRNA from 1 species
UGUAUGUUUGUAUGUGUGUGUGUAUGUGUGUGUGUGUGUCUAUAUAUAUAUAUAUAUAUAUAUAUUAGUAAUUAAUUGCUAUGCUAUAAAUGAAAACACUACUGUUUCAAGUUUAACAUUAAUGAAUGUUUCAAAUGUUAAUAUAUUUGGUUCCAACCUAAAUACAAAAUAAUCCUAGAAGCUGGAAUAUAAAGAUUGCUAUUUCUUUCCCGUUUAGGAAAGUAAUAAUUUGUUGAAACUUCUUAUUGGUCGACAAUCAGAAACUUUGUUUACAUCCCCUCUUCUAAACACAAUCCGUUUGUUUUGUAAAGUUCAACUCAAGAAAAGUAUUGCAAUAUGUGUGAAGUUCUUCGCUACCCUUAGUAUUUGCUAAAACCAAUAAGAAAGAAUGGGUGCAAUGUAAUUUAUCAGAUAAUGACUUUCACAUAAAUGAAAAUUCCCAAUAUACCUUCGGAUUGCAAUGGAGUUGACCUGACCAUAAGAAAUUACUUCAAUUUUACCGCAAAGGUUCCAAUAAAAAUAGUACUACCAAAAGUCUGAAUUAGAAGUGCAGGAUAUACUUGUUGCAUAUAGAAAACAAUAUGGAAUGCACCUAACAGGCCAAAAAAAAGGAUCCGUAAGAAUAAACAACAAAAAAAUAGUACACUGACAACAAUGAGCAAUAAGCAUCAGAAAAAAGGAGAACAAACAAUAAAAGCAAUGGAACUGACCUGACCAUACGAAGUUACUUCAAUUUUACCGCAAAGGCUCCAAUAAAAAUAGUACUACCAAAAGUCUGAAUUAGAAGUGCAGGAUAUACUUGCUGCAUAUAGAAAAGCAAUAUGGAAUGCAUAGAACAGGCCAAAAAAAGGAU